rnacentral:rRNA from 1 species
GACAGAGGCCCCAAGCGUUAGGCGGAAUCACUGGGCUUAAAGCGUGUGUAGGCGGACGCCUAAGUGUCUUGUGAAAUCCCACGGCUCACCCGUGGAACUGCUGGGCAUACUGGGCGUCUUGGGCCAACUAGGGGCAGCCGGAACAAGCGGUGUAGCGGUGAAAUGCGCAGAUAUCAGGAGGAACACCAAUGGCGAAGGCAGCUCGCUGGGACGGUACUGACGCUGAGACGCGAAAGCGUGGGGAGCAAACAGG